GGGGGUAUGGCGGAAUUGGUAGACGCUACGGACUUAAAAUCCGUUGGCUUUAUUGACCGUGAGGGUUCAAGUCCCUCUACCCCUA
rnacentral:tRNA from 6 species